rnacentral:piRNA from 1 species
AAUCUUCAAGUUAUGUUCUGUUAUG